GAUGAACGCUGGCGGCGUGCCUAAUACAUGCAAGUCGAGCGAACAGACGAGGAGCUUGCUCCUCUGACGUUAGCGGAGGACGGGUGAGUAACACGUGGAUCCCCUACCUAUAAGACUGGGAUAACUUCGGGAAACCGGAGCUAAUACCGGAUAAUAUAUUGAACCGCAUGGUUCAAUAGUGAAAGACGGUUUUGCUGUCACUAAUAGAUGGAUCCGCGCCGCAUUAGCUAGUUGGUAAGGUAACGGCUUACCAAGGCAACGAUGCGUAGCCGACCUGAGAGGGGGAUCGGCCACACGAGAGCUGAGACGCGGACCAGACUCCUACGGGAGGCAGCAGUAGGGAAUCUUACGCAAUGGGCGGAAGCCUGGCGGAGCAACGCCGCGUGAGUUAUAAAGGUCUUCGGAGCGUAAAACUCUGUUAUUAGGGAAGAACAAAUUUGUAAGUAACUAUGCACUUCUUGACGGUACCUAAUCAGAAAGCCACGGCUAACUACGUG
rnacentral:rRNA from 1 species